CGGGUAGCCGGCCUGAGAGGGUGACCGGCCACACUGGGACUGAGACACGGCCCAGACUCCUACGGGAGGCAGCAGUGGGGAAUAUUGCACAAUGGGCGCAAGCCUGAUGCAGCGACGCCGCGUGCGGGAUGACGGCCUUCGGGUUGUAAACCGCUUUCAGCAAGGAAGAAGCUUUUUGUGACGGUACUUGCAGAAGAAGCGCCGGCUAACUACGUGCCAGCAGCCGCGGUAAUACGUAGGGCGCGAGCGUUAUCCGGAAUUAUUGGGCGUAAAGAGCUCGUAGGCGGUUUGCCACGUCUGCUGUGAAAGCCCGGGGCUCAACCUCGGGUGUGCAGUGGGUACGGGUAGGCUGGAGUGCAGUAGGGGAGACUGGAAUUCCUGGUGUAGCGGUGAAAUGCGCAGAUAUCAGGAGGAACACCGAUGGCGAAGGCAGGUCUCUGGGCUGUUACUGACGCUGAGGAGCGAAAGCAUGGGGAGCGAACAGGAUUAGAUACCCUGGUAGUCCAUGCCGUAAACGUUGGGCACUAGGUGUGGGGGACAUUCCACGUUUUCCGCGCCGUAGCUAACGCAUUAAGUGCCCCGCCUGGGGGAG
rnacentral:rRNA from 1 species